rnacentral:misc_RNA from 1 species
GUGCAUUUCUCGGAAAUAUUGGUUUCCGCUAUCGGGAAUAUUGGAUAUUACUUAAUCAUUUAUGAUCCAAACAUGAAUUCGAAAACAAAUUCGACAAUCAUUGGUUUAAGUGAUUGGGUUCGGGAUCGGUUUUCACUAUAAUAAUAUGGCGACGGUAUUUUAGUGACACUCGUCUUUAUAGCCUAUCUAGUAAAAAACACACAUCUUAACGAUAUUUAUGGUGAUUUUCUAACUUUAUAAUAAACAAUUAAAAACAAAACAAACACAUCUUAAAAAUAAAACACCUCCUCCAAUGCGUCACAUCGAGGCAAGGUGCCCAACAGGCUGGCAGCAUAUUACCUCUCUGAAUCGCCAGGCUAAUUCUCUGACAGAAAUAACUACCAGCCCUAGCAUCCCCCGAAGCCCCGAUGACGCAUUGAGAGAUCCUUAACAAAUAUUUUUGCUUCUGGACCCCAAGGACCCAUCGUUUCAACUGCAAAUGGGACAAAAAGGAAUGAUAACGAUGAUGAUGUUUAUGGCGAUAAAUCACGACAUCGGAUAAAUGGCAAUAAACAAAUUGUUUAUUGAAAGAUGAGGACAAGCAAUAAUAAUAAAAUCAGGCACUAUUGUACGCAGUGUUGCGAAGAUCAUAGGAGAUUUUACGACAGCCAUCUGUGAUUUGACGAUCGAUGUGUAGGUACAGCGUACCUAAUGUGUUAUGUUUAUUGAGCUAUUAAUAUUAUAGCAUUUUCUGGACAGGAUGGACCGCUGUGUCUCGUUGUUUUGCCAUGCAUAAUAUUAAUAGUGAUAAAUGAUAAUAUUAAAAAGUUGUUAAUGGCAUUGCUUUAAGUAGGUUAAUAUGGCUGAAUAGCAUUAGUGGUUUGUUAACUGCAUAUUUUCACUGGAUAACUGGCUUUAGGGACGGUCUGUGCCCAGCAGUGGGACGUUUAUGUCGUUUAUAUUAUUUAUGUUACGGAACUGGAUUUUAGCAUUGGUUAUGUAGGUACUACUUGGUCUUUGGGUUACACCUGUUUAUAAAAAAAAAUGGCCGAUAAAUCUUUCCUUUCGCCUUAUUAUUAUUAUUAUUAUCAUCUAAUUACUACAGGGAACUAGUUAUUAAACGUGUUCUCCAAAGCACAGACCUCAAAAUGAUGUAAAUCUAGGUACUUAAACGCAAUUUUAUAUUAAAAGCUUAUCCACCAAUUUAUAUUUUGCAAAAGCAUAACAUAAUUAUAAUAAAUCUGUGUAAAAAUCUAAAAAAAAAUGAUAAAUGGUAAAACAUGUAUCCGAACGGAUAUUAUCAAAUUAAUAAUCAAUCAAUACCACCUGUCAGACAGACGCUGUCACAGUGACGUUUACACUGACAACAUCAUAAUCGAUUACAAUUUGCUAUUUUAAAGCGGGGUGUAUUGUUCGUAUUUAAUAAAAUACAUCUUUAAACAGUAUUAUGAAGCGCGUAUAUGUGUAUCAAAAUAGGACCCAAGAUGUUGGUAAACUUGUGGCUUUGGAAGAGACUAAAGACUUCAUAACACACCUGUGCGCUUUGUUCCGAAGGCCUAUAGAUUCCAUCCGGUUAUAUACAGUAAACGGGUGUGAAAUCAACGAUUUGAGACUUAUACGAGACGAGGAGAAGAUCUACCUGUGUUCAGGAUCUGAAACAGACGACUGCGAUGAGUGUAAAGUGGAGAAUAGUUUGGAGAAUCGCUUAAAGAAAUUGAUUAUCGAGGACGAAGAAAGUCCGACGGAGAAUUCAGCUUCUUCCGAUUGGAUCACGCUCAAUGUUGGAGGAAGACACUUCACGACUUCACGGUCUACACUCUUGGCCAAGGAACCUUCGUCAAUGUUAGCCAGAAUGUUCGCAUAUACUAAUAAUAAUAUGUACUUAAUGAGCCCAAGCGCAAGAGAUGAGACUGGAGCCUAUUUGAUAGACAGAAGUCCCGAGUAUUUCGAGCCUAUUCUCAACUAUUUAAGGCAUGGAGAAGUGAUACUGGAUAAACAUGUCAACCCUAAAGGAGUAUUGGAAGAGGCUUCAUUUUAUGGUAUAGAAUCCAUGAUACCUGAACUUCAACAGUUAGUUGAGGACUAUAAAAGCAAUACCGGCAGAAAAGAGGUAUUGACCCGUAUGGAUGUGGUCCGUGCCAUCAUUUUGACCCCCACAAGCUCGGAGUUGAGGUUCCAAGGAGUCGACAUGUCUGGCGCUGACCUUAGUCGACUGGACUUGAGAAAUAUCAAUUUUAAGUACGCCUGUUUGUCAAAUUGUAAUCUAACUGGGGCAAAUCUGUCGCAUUGCUGUUUGGAGCGCGCAGACUUGUCGCACGCCAAUCUUGAAGGGGCACAGCUGCUGGGGGUCAAAGCACUUUGUGCGAAUAUGGAAGGUAUGUCUAUUGAGGGAGCGUGCAGACUUCUCGCGUGCCAGCCGAGGGGCAGAGGUGCUCGGGGCCCUCUGGGCUGAUUUGGAGGAGCCAAUUUAAAGGGGAGCAACAUGGAAGAUCCUCUUGGUUCCAGGGCUGUUAUGGAAGGUGUUAACUUAAAAGGUGCCAAUCUGGAGGGAAGCAAUAUGGCGGGUGUGAACCUUCGUGUGGCCACAUUAAAGAAUGC